GUUUUAAUAUCACAAUAGGUCUCAGACUACACUAUCGAACUGUUAUCUAACACACAUUGUUCUCGACCUUGACUAACGAUAAGUUAUUUUAUUCAACAAAAAAAAAAGGAUCUGAUAAUUACAAAAACAGUCUGCUCGAGAGCGAAUGGUUUGGUAUCACGUAUUAGUUUAAUUUCAGAUUGUGGCUGAUGAUUGAUGUGUUUUCACAUUUACGAUGCCUAGAUGUGUUUGAAGAUGUUGACUUCAGUUUGAAAGUCCCAGAUUAUAGGGGAUUUACCAAUGUGAACGAAGGUGAACACCGCGGGGGAAGAGUAGUUGCAAAUAAGUAGCCAUCGAGGUCAGACGAACAAAAAGAGUAAAAAUAAAAGAGGAAAGACGCGAGAAAGACGAAAGACGCGUAGAAGACGAAAGACGUACAAAAGACGGAAAGUCCUGAAAAAGACGAUAAAGACGGAAGACGAUAAAAUCAAUUGUAUAUUGAUGUGCUGUUGUGACCAAUAAGAAAAGUGUAUCAGGAUAGCUGUUCAAUACUGUGGAAAACUCUAAUUGUGCAAACGUUUAUACUUUUUAAUAUUUUAAUUUUAUUCAUUAAACACUUUCUAAAAAUA